GAGCUGUAGAUGGCUAUCAAGAGAAAGCGAGAGAGAAGAAAAGCGCAUGAAGGAGACAAUGAGAAAUCAAUGGUCAAUACGAAGGAGGCUGAUGAUGAGAGAUGAAGGGGGUAGAGAUAUAUUUCUCACCAUCUGCUAAUAUCGGGUGGGGUGUGGGUGAAAAAAUUCUGUCUUUAAAUUUGCUACAGGUGUCUCAUGCAACAAAAUUAAAAAAUGUUCCCGUUUUGAUUUAUUUUUUUCCAAAAAAGAGCUUCACCAUCAAUGGCUUCGUUCUACCCUAGUGGAAGAAGAAUCAACAUACAGCAUUGCAAUUGCUGGAAUUUCUCACAAAUAAUAACAAAGCUUUGGGAUGUCUUUGCGCCAAUUCCUGGAGGGACAAUCCAGACCUAACUCUGAAGAUGUGUAGAACCUAAUGAUGCAGGAAAGGUGGGGAAAAAACCGCAGUUCAAUCAUAACACUCGCUAAAAGUCUGUUGGUUAAAAUGGAAUUCUUCAAAGUAAGUAUACUUAGGAGAGCCUCCAUUAAAUGUAUAUGGAUUUCGCAGCCCAAACAGCUAAUUUUUUUUUUUGUUCUCCAGAGAUUCACAAAAGCCAAACAUUGAUCAGGGGUAACUUUUUUCUUGGCUUUAUACUUCCAUAAGUGCCAUCACCACAAUACUACUGCUAUUUUAUUUAUUUAUUUAUUUCUCUUAAUAGACAUUGAGUAAUGAGUGCUUGUAUAUGAGGGCAGAAACUAAUCUAUAAUUCAUGUUGCACUACAUGGUUGCAUAUUUAAUCUGUAGGAAUACUUCGACCACUCCUGAAAUCCCUACCACAAGAAACCGUAUGGCACCAGGUGCCCAAAAAUACAAUGCUGUGCAUGCUGACCAAAAUUUUGUUGCCAUAUUACACAUGAGUAUUUCAUAGAGGGAGUUGGAAAUGUUUGAGAAACAGUCAUAUUUAGUUCAAAGGUGAGGAAGAACAGUUAUGUGUAUAUGGUUGCUUAUGGCAAGUGAGGAAGUCCGUACACAUUUGGUGAUGCAUUCUGUAAUGAAAUAUGGCAUUUCCCAAACUAGGUGGUACUUCUAACUCCAUGAUUUUUUGUGUGUCAGGAGUGACUUGAGAAACUGUGAGUUGCUUCUGACUUGGGAGAAUUGGCCAUCUGCAAGGACGUUGCCCAGGGGACGCCCAGAUGUUUUACAAUCCUGUGGAAGACUUCUCUCAUGUCCCCGCAUGGAAAGCUGGAGCUGACAGUCGGGAGCUCACCCCAUUCCCGGAUUCGAACCACCAGCCUUUUAGUCAGCAGUCCUGCCGGCACACAUGUUUAAACCAUUGUGCCACCGGGGGCUCCACAACUCCAUGAUUAUAAAAUGAUAUUCCAUCUAUUCAAUGCAAAGUCUGAGCCAAUAUUUAACAUCUCUUCUCUCUUGCCUAUGCCCGAGCCAGCAAAUAAGGGGUAUUUUGUAGGCGCAGAGUUGGGGCAAUGAUCUGUGUUGAUAACAGGACAUGAAACCUGCUGACCUACAUGUUAGGAGAGAGAGUAGUACUUACUCUGGAACUAGGUUUUUCUGGCAACAACUCUGUUUUAUUCUGUUUUAUUAUACUCGCCGGUAAGAAAACUGUGCACAAGCGAACCAACAAUAAACACGUUUCCCAUUGAUUUCAGUGAUAGAGAUAAGCACAGGCUUAAAUCUAUCCGAUUAAAAUCAAUGGAACUUGAAAGCACUUUAUUUAAUUAUCCCUCUGCCCUUAGAUGUAGACAUUUUGAUGUUGCGGCAUGUUAGUUUGACUUCAGUUAGCAAUAAUAUGAAAGUUUGAGUUCAAAAAAAAGAUGGUGGUGGUGGUGGUGGUGAUAUAGUUGAAACAAGCAUGAGGGAUAUGGUCAAGAUCAAGAUGUAAAAGUUUCCCCUUGACAUUAAGUCAAGUCAAGUUUGACUCUGGGGGUUGGUGUUCAUCUCCAUUUCUAAGUCAAAGAGCUGGUGUUGUCCAUAGAUGCCUCCUAGGUCAUGUGGCCGGCAUUUGCAUAUUUUUGAAAUACAGAAGCUGGGUCUAAUGACAGAAGCUCACCCCACUCUGUGGAUUCGAACCGCCAACCUUUCGGUCAGCAAGUUCUGCAGCUCAGUGGUUUAACCCCCUGCGUCACUGCAAUCCCAAAAUCAAGAUGAGAAUCAGGAAAAACAUAGUUUUGGGGAAAUGCCUUAUAUCAACUAGGACAGCACCUGCUCUUCUCUUCCCCCACUCUCCAACCACUCCAUUCAAAUGAAAAAGGAAGCGAUUAAAAAAAAACCUGUUCAAUGCUUCAGUUAUUUUUCAUUUCAGAGGCAUGGUGUAUCUAUUGAUGAAAUAAUUCCUACCACAGUCUUGAACCAAAGUAAACUUACUCUAUUUAUAUAUAUAA